UACGGAGGGCGCUAUCGUUGUUCGGAAUUACUGGGCGUAAAGCGCGCGUAGGCGGCUUUUUAAGUCAGGGGCGAAAUCCCGGGGCUCAACCCCGGAACUGCCCUUGAAACUGGAUGGCUAGAAUACUGGAGAGGUGAGUGGAAUUCCGAGUGUAGAGGUGAAAUUCGUAGAUAUUCGGAAGAACACCAGUGGCGAAGGCGACUCACUGGACAGUUAUUGACGCUGAGGUGCGAAAGCGGGGGAAGCAAACAGG
rnacentral:rRNA from 1 species